rnacentral:misc_RNA from 1 species
AUGGACGGAAAAACUAAAAGUAAUGAAAUUCUAUACACACCAAGCUCAUGGUGUAAACGAAUGCAUCCGGAUAUGGUAGUCAAUAAACAUAUUGAAAUAGUUCAGUUGAUUAGUGAACAAAUUAAGAAAUCUAGGUAUCAUAUAAAAACAAAUAUUAGAUAUGGACCUGGUGAUCAACAGCUUUUAGAUGUAUAUGAAGAUGAACUGACUUCUUCGGAUUAUACUUUUGUUUAUAUUCAUGGAGGGUAUUGGCAAGACUUAAACAAAGACAUUUCUGCCUAUUGUGUAGAACCAUUGGUAAAUUCUGGAAUUCGAGUAGUUAUUCCUGGCUAUGAUCUUGCACCAAAAGUUACUCUGUUUAAUAUAGUCGAGGAAAUUCAUCAAUUGUUGUCAUAUUUAAAGGAUUGUUUAAAAUACAAAAAUAUUUGGUUGGGAGGGCAUUCAGCAGGUGCUCAUUUAGCUUCAUCUAUGAUUCAUACUGAAAUAAAUGAAAAUAUUGGUGUUAAAGGAUUUAUACUCAUCAGCGGUGUAUUUGAUCUUAAUCCAUUAUUGGAGACAUCUAUCAAUAAAGCACUGAAGCUGAACAAAGAGACUUGUCUACAACUAAGUCCACUGAAUAAUCUCUAUGGACUUGAUUUUACACAUAUUAUGGCAAAGUUUCAUGUACAAGUUCUUGUAGUUUACGCAGAAAAUGAUUCUCCAGCUUUCCAUUUUCAAUCAAAACAGUUUGCCAAAUUUCUGGACAAACUUGGUUUAGAAGUAAUAGAAGAAAAGAUAAAUGGAGUAGAUCAUUUUGAUAUUGUAGAGAAUCUUUCAAAUAAAGACUAUUCUCUUACAAAAAAAAUCAUCAAUUUUAUUCUAAACUAAUAUACUUAGGUAACAUAUAGCCAUGUGCACAAAGUAAAUUAGUAUUAAUGUAUUAUUAUGUGGAUACUGGAUAGUAAUGUAAGUUUGCAGAAUGCCACCAAUGAGCGUUUUUAUAAGCGUUCAAAAUUCUUACAUCUCCACCAG